rnacentral:rRNA from 1 species
UACGGGGGGGGCAAGCGUUGUUCGGAAUUACUGGGCGUAAAGGGCUCGUAGGUGGCCAACUAAGUCAGACGUGAAAUCCCUCGGCUUAACCGGGGAACUGCGUCUGAUACUGGAUGGCUUGAGGUUGGGAGAGGGAUGCGGAAUUCCAGGUGUAGCGGUGAAAUGCGUAGAUAUCUGGAGGAACACCGGUGGCGAAGGCGGCAUCCUGGACCGGUAUUGACGCUGAGGAGCGAAAGCCAGGGGAGCAAACGGG